UUAAUCAGUUAUCGUUUAUUUGAUAGUACCUUUACCUGGAUAACCGUGGUAAUUCUAGAGCUAAUACAUGCUAAAAACCUCGACUUCGGAAGGGGUGUAUUUAUUAGAUAAAAAACCAAUGCCCUUCGGGGCUCCUUGGUGAAUCAUAAUAACUUAACGAAUCGCAUGGCCUUGCGCCGGCGAUGGUUCAUUCAAAUUUCUGCCCUAUCAACUUUCGAUGGUAAGAUAGAGGCUUACCAUGGUCUUAACGGGUAACGGGGAAUUAGGGUUCUAUUCCGGAGAGGGAGCCUGAGAAACGGCUACCACAUCCAAGGAAGGCAGCAGGCGCGCAAAUUACCCAAUCCCGACACGGGGAGGUAGUGACAAUAAAUACUGAUACGGGGCUCUUUUGGGUCUCGUAAUUGGAAUGAGUACAAUCUAAAUCCCUUAACGAGGAACAAUUGGAGGGCAAGUCUGGUGCCAGCAGCCGCGGUAAUUCCAGCUCCAAUAGCGUAUAUUAAAGUUGUUGCCGUUAAAAAGCUCGUAGUUGAACCUUGGGCCUGGCUGACCUGUCCUCCUAAUCGAGCGCACGGGUUCGGUCGGGCCUUUCCUUCUAGGGAACCCCAUGCCCUUCACUGGGUGUGGUGGGGAACUAGGACUUUUACCUUGAAAAAAUUAGAGUGUUCAAAGCAGGCCUUUGCUCGAAUACAUUAGCAUGGAAUAAUAGAAUAGGACAUCGGUUCUAUUUUGUUGGUUUCUAGGACCGCCGUAU
rnacentral:rRNA from 2 species